AAGGCUAAAUACUACCUAGUGACCGAUAGCGUAUAGUACCGUGAGGGAAAGGUGAAAAGAACCCCGGGAGGGGAGUGAACUAGAACCUGAAACCCUGCACUUACAAGCUGUGGAAGCACAUUUCUUGUGUGACCGCGUACUUUUUGUAGAACGGGCCAACGAGUUACGUUAAGUAGCAAGGUUAAGCACUUAAGGUGUGGA
rnacentral:rRNA from 1 species